AGCCUUUCAUCCCAAAGAUGCAGCCGACUUGAUUGUGGUGGAUAAGCUUUUUGUUGUGCCGCUGGAUGCUGUUUGCUAGUAUUUUAUUAAGCAUUUUUGAAUUGAUGUUCAUCAGGGAUAUUGGCCUGGAUUGAGCAGGCCACUUCCAAUCCAGAGGAAGACCUUCUAGAAGAGGUGGUGGGUGGGAGAGUGCUGACAUACUAUGUGAAGCUACUAUUUGGAGUUGGACAUGAGUGCAUGUGACCUUGUGCCACAGCGGGAAUGUGAGCUGGAUGACAAAUGGAGAUUUGGACUUGUGAUAAUUGGCCUCUGUGUCACUGUUUGGAAGACUGACUGGUCCCUUUAUUUCCUAUAGCUUGACUACCACACAAAUGAAUCCACUCAAAUGUUAGCAAGGGGAGCAGAGUCGCAGGACAGUCCACAGUCUCUACAGAUACAGACACACCCCCAAUUCAAGGAUCUUCACACCUGGAUUUAAGCCUACUCCUGCAACUACCCCAGGCCAGUUAUCCAGGCAGUGACUUUCAGUACAGCUACAGUCACCUCUGGACACCUGUGGAGACUUUAAAAAUUUCCAGAAGGUCAGGAAUUUUUGGAGACCUUUCUCAUGGCUAUGUCGCCUGCAAAGGUAAAUCAAUAAGCUUCUGAACUGACUUAGAAAAUGUUUCAGAGACUCUUGUGAGCAGAUAGACCCUCUCUUGCCACUCCAGAUAGACGUAUCUGGGUCACACACACCUGAUUUAACAACAUCUCAUUAUCUCAGGCACCAAUUUGAUCUUCUACUACUUUGCAGACAUCUCUUCUGCAGACACCAGACAAAUUGAGAUAAUGACCUUCCGCAGCACCCAAACCACCUCUUACUGCAGGAAAGAAGAUCCAGUGAGAUAGUUAGUCCACAAAUGGAAUGUAAAUCCAUAAACACUCUUAAGUAACAGAGUAAAUUUAGUAUGAGGGUUUUUAUGUGGGAGCUCUUGAAAUGGUUGCUGCUCAUAUGUCAGAGACACAUGCAGAUUGAGAAAGGUAGCAGUUCCAAUCCUGGUUUGGCCCAACAGUCACUGCAUUUUUGGUGGGGAAAAGGGAUGUGGGAGGAGAUGGUACAUCUUCAUCUUUUUCUCUGGGUUUUCUGUCAGAAAGGGCUGUUGCUUACUCCAGUGGCAAAAAAUGCCAAUGUCUUCUGCCAGAGUGGGUUACUGAGGGCCAUGAUGGUUCCACCUUGUGGCUGAUACAGAUAGUCCCUUUCUGCUUUUGUUUCUAGCCAAAAAAGAUGUUUCUGGCAUCUCAGGUAUGCUGAUUUCAGCAGCUGUUUGUUCUAUGUGGCUAUUCUUUUUUUUUCUUUCACUCUCUCUUUCUCUCUCUUUUUUUUUUUGGCUUCACUAUGUUGCCAUAGUUUCUUAAAUGGUACCUUGAACCCUCCCAGGGCUAUUUUGGUUUGUACAUAGCUAUCUAUAUAUUUUUUUCUUGGGGGGAGGGUGUAGAGCUAAAGGCUGGUAUAUCCUGCUCCUGCUCCCCCAAGUGACGUUACUCCCCCAAGCUAACAUUUCAGGCUUUCAAUUUAUUCAUGCUUUUAUCUGUUCAAACAUAAGUAGAAAUUACUUUUUCUCUCCACAUUUAGAUUCGAUCUAUCUACUUUAGUUGCUAAUAGUGGCUUAGUCAUAGAAUAGAUUAGUUAGAAAAAGUAUGCUUUUGACAUUAUAAAUUGUUCUUUCAAUUUGUGUCUAAAAGUGGAAAAUACUAGAAAGCUUAACAUUUAUUAUUGUAUUCAGACCAUUAUUUCCUCCAGAUGACCUUUGUUACAACAAAGAUAAUUUAAUGAACAUCUCUCUAAUGGUAAAGCUGUUGGCUUUGUGCUAUUACAGUAUCCUUAAAAUAAAGUGAUGGUCUGGUGAAAAGAACAACUAAAGCAAAGACUAGGAAAAAAAAGUUAAUACCUUCAUUUUGAUCUCACUCUGCAUUGAGAGUUUUCAAUGUGUUAAAGAUUUAUUAUACAUUAAGUAAUUUAAUGUUCAUUUAAUAAUAAAUGGAUCCUAUUAAAUAUGAUUUUUAAAAUUAUAAUCACA